rnacentral:piRNA from 1 species
CAGAGCCAAGGAAGCUGCACAGGGACAAGGGCUGAUGAUAUUGAAAGUUCAUAUGGAUCAGUGUGUUUCCCACCAGAACCAGAUGUGAAUACCCUUUCACUGAAAACUCCAUGUUCUUUGGCUUCAGGAAAGAGCAAAAUCAAGCAUAGUGCUGCAACUGAUCUGGACGCUUCCUUCCUGAUGGCUGGCUUUCCUGAUGCUGGAAUGUGCCUUGCAGGUUCUGGGAGAGAAAAAUCAUUACAGGCUUAAGUUCCUGUGCUACAUGACUGACCUGCUGAGCAAUAUGCUACUGGAGUGAUAGUUUUAUGACCGUUAAGGGAAUAGUCAGCUGCUUUUGACUGAAUUUGAGGUCAGCUACACUUGGAAUUCACAUUCGGUUCUAGAAAGCUGUUCAGUAACCCUUGGCUGGGCAGCCACUAGGCCCUGCUGUGGAAGGUUCUACUGUUUUGCUAAAUGAGCACGUUGCACCCAGCAAAUUGCCUUCUAAAUAGUUAUGUCUAUGUCUACGUCUACAUAUUAGUGCUGCUCUCAGCUUCGGUCACACAAACUUCUUUUUCAGUUAGUGGCAGCUAUUGCAGCAGAGACUCAGGGUCAACAUGCUAAGAGUUGGUGACUGUUGAAGACUCAGCACUAAAUAUACAUCAAUAUCAUUCCAAGGCUCAGGGACCAUUGUGGAAGAUGGAGUGGAAAAAAAAAUCUAAGAGACAGUAGAGGUAGUGGGAACUGAUGGGACUCUGUCUUCAGGCAACAUCAUGUUCUACACACAUGAACUCAGAGCAGCACCUGAACAAGUCUGGGUACCUCAGCAUUGCAUUAUAGUGUUUAUACCUGUGGCAUGAUCAAAGAGGCCUAGUAAUGAAGAAAUUCUUGGCUGGCCAAGGUGCUGAGAGCAAGUGACUGAUCAGUGCUCAUAGAAUGUUGUAGAAGAAGGGGAUUGUGAGCACCAGACAAUGGUGGGGUGAGGAGGGCUGCGAUAAGCUAUCUUCAGGGAAAUGGCAUGACUAUGGUUCGCAUGAAUUCAGAGCAGCUACAGAUACCUGAGCCUCUACAAGACGGAGCCUAUAAACCUUCAUUCUCUUAACUGUGUGUUUCCCACCAGAGCUGGAUGUGAAGCCCCUGUUGGCUGAGAAUUCCACUGCUGUGGUUUUAGGGCAUAGAGAAAUCAAGGGGAAGCCAAGCUGGAAGCUUUCUCCCUCCUGGCUGAUCUGAUAGUGCCAGAGUAUGCUGUGAAUGAAGAUCCUGAGGGCAAAAAGUCACCGCCAAGCGUACUCAGUUCCAGGCCCUCUGCCACGAUAACUACCUGCUAGGCAUUAUACUUACCGUUGGAGUGAAGGGGUGAUUUCACUGUGAAAGGCUUCCUCCACAGACUGAGCAUCAUCAAUGACUGGGCAAAAUUCCACUGGGCUCUUCUAGACUUUUUCCAAGGACUAUUUCUGGAAACAAACUUCAACAUUCCCAGGUUUCAAGCUUUGAGUAUUUCUGCAUUGACAGUUGCAACCGAUUAAUUCCAUUGGAUGGUUUCUUGUUCUGAAGUUAAAAUUUCAAAGUAUCUGAUCCUGGCUUAAUGUCACUCAAG